UAAUGCAUGGGUAACCGUACCCCGGGGACGUGGAUAGCCUUCCUAACGGAAGGGUAAUACGCGGCGAUCUGGCUGAGAGACAUCUUUUGGCCAGGAAAUGAAUUUCGCCUCGGGAGGGGCUCAUGUCGUAUUAGCUUGUUGGUGGGGUAACGGCCUACCAAGGCAAAGAUGCGUAGCGGGUGUGAGAGCACGACCCGCGCCACUGGCACUGAGACACUGGCCAG
rnacentral:rRNA from 1 species